GAUGAACGCUGGCGGCGUGCCUAAUACAUGCAAGUCGAACGCUGAAGCGUGGUGCUUGCUCCGAGCGGAUGAGUUGCGGACGGGUGAGUAACGCGUAGGUAACCUGCCUGGUAGCGUGGGAUAACUAUUGGAAACCAUAGCUAAUACCGCAUAAGAGUAUAUAUCGCAUGGUUCGUAAUUGAAAGGUGGUAUUGCACUCCUACAAGAUGGGCUUGCCUCGCAUUUGCUAGUUGGUGAGGUAAAGGCCCACCAAGGCAACGAACAGUAGCCGACCUGAGAGGAGGUUCGGCCACACGGGAACGGAGACCCGGCCCAGACUCCUACGGGAGGCAGCAGUGGGGAAUUUUGGCAAAGGGGGGAAAGCUUGACGAAGCAAGGCGGGGGGGUGGAGGAAGUUCUUCGGUUGUAAAAGCAUUUUUGUAGGGAAAGAAGAGGGGGGGAGUGAAAAGUGCACACUGUGACGGUACCUAACCAGAAAGCGACGGCUAACUACGUG
rnacentral:rRNA from 1 species